AAAUGCCAAAAAGUCAUGAAAUAAGAUAUGACGAGAAUGUUGAAAUACAUCCACGGUUGAAAAAUCACACUAUUCAGGUAAAUAUUCGGUGCCGAUAGUUGCGGUCAAUGCAAUUUUUCAUUCUUUCCCCCUAUGAGUAGCCCUAUAUUCGGUGGUUAUUUUGCGUAAAAUUUUUAUACAACUUGUUGCGUGUUAUCGAUUUAAAACUAUUUUCAGUUGGAGGUCCGGCCAAAAUACGUAAUUUAGACGGUCGAACGACCUUUUCUGUGCGUUUAGGGGUUUGACUUACGAGAUUGACCGUCCGGAUCGAGCCCUUAUACUUGUCGGAUCAAGUUGAAUUUUUUCCCAUACAUGUAUUUUAUCAUGAUGGUCAGAUCUGACGGUCGGAUUUAUUUUUCUCAAGUUUGAUCAUCACAAUCACAAUGUGCCAAAUGUAUAAAAAUACUUUUAGCCGACGAAUUACAAAGGUUAGCCGACGAAUUUCAAAAGUUUAGCCGACGAAUUUAUAAAGUUUAGCCGACGAAUUUCAAGGUUUUAGCCGACGAAUUUAGAAGGUUUAGUCGACGAAUUGAUGUAUAGCCGACGAAAUAAUUAUUUCGUCGGCUAAAGUUUUCGGGUAUAACUACGAAACCCUAGCCUCCUCCCUCCCUCCCUCUCCCGGUCCCGGUCUCCUCCCUCCUCCCUCUCCGAGCCCGGUCUCCUCCCUCCCUCUCCCGUCUCCGCCUCCUCCCUCCUCCCUCCUCCCUCCCUCCCUCUCCCGGUCUCCACCUCCUCCCUCUCCCGGUCUCCAAGGUUAGCGUUUUUCUUCUUUUUUACUUUUGAUUUCGAAUUGAUUUUUAGGCUAUGUUUUAUGUUUUAUGUACUGUCUAAUUUCCCUAAUUUAUGUUUAGAAGAUAAAUUAUCGUUAUUUUUUAAACAUAUGCUUUGUUGAUAAUAAACUUGAUGCUUGCAUUAUGAUUAGGUAUUGGUUUUAUCGUGGGCAUGGUACGAAUUUUUAAACAUAAGAUACAAAAUACAAAAUAGAAAAACUUAUAUCAAAUCCGGAUGAAUAUAUAUAUAUAUUUUAUUGAAUUCAUAUUUUUGAAUAAGUAUAAUUUUAAACAUAUAUAUAUUUCACAUUAUAUUAAGUGUUUAAAUUUAAGCAUGAACAUAAUGAAAAAAUAUGGUUUCAAAAAUAUUUUUUAUAGAAUAAAGACAAAAUAAUCUAAAGCCUUAGAUUUGAGAAGGAUAAGAUUGAAUUUUUACUUUUUCAAUGUUGCCUCAGCCUUGAUUCAAAUUAAUAUUUUAAAUAGGAUGAGCGGCUAUUUUAGAUCGAAGAAGAGUUCGAAAGGCCAAAGGUCUGAAUCGUCUGAGGGAACCUCUAGCAACCCGUAAACGACGUGUCAGGGCCAGAUGACAGCCAGACGUGCGAGCCUUCUGGAGACGGCGCAGAGGCAGCCGGAGGUGCCCCUUUCAUCGAGGCAGGCGGCCGUCCCUCGUUCCUCGAGGCAGCUGUGGCCUCAGACCCAAACGGAGGUGUCUGCACCCCGUAUGCCUGAGAUACACCGGGCGCCCACUCCAGGUCCUACUUCUUCGGAUAAUGGGUCAUCUGGGGUACAGAUGCCGCCGCCUCAUCUGUUCCUUCCGCGGAUGAUACCGGCCUUACCUGUAGUCGAUGG
rnacentral:lncRNA from 1 species